rnacentral:rRNA from 1 species
CCAGCAGCUGCGGUAAUUCCAGCUCCAAUAGCGUAUAUUAAAGUUGUUGCAGUUAAAAUGCUCGUAGUCUGACCUAUUUGGCCUUUUCCGUUUGUGAUUUGCACGUACGCUGAGGAUGCUGCGGGUGUCCUUCACGGGAUGUCUGUAGUACUCCUUUUGUGCGAGGGGCCAAAUUGUACUUCGGAGGAACCUCGGUACUUUUCACUAAGUGCCUUGUGGGAUUCCGAUAGUUUACUUUGAGAAAAAUAGAGUGUUCAAAGCAGGCGUUUUUGCCCUUGAAUACGUUAGCAUGGGAUAAUGAAAUAGGACAUUGGUUCUCUAUUUCUGAUGGUUUGAAGGACCGAUGUAAUGAUUAAUAGGGACAGUUGGGGACAUUCAUAUUCCAUGGCUAGAGGUGAAAUUCUUGGAUUCAUGGAAGAUGAACUACUGCGAAAGCAUUUGUCAAAGAUGUUUUCAUUGAUCAAG